UGAUCCUGGCAUCAGAUUGAACGCUGGCUCGCAUGCCUUACACAUGCAAGUCGAACGGCAGCACGGGAGCAAUCCUGGUGGCGAGUGGCGAACGGGUGAGUAAUAUAUCGGAACGUGCCCAGUCGUGGGGGAUAACGCAGCGAAAGCUGUGCUAAUACCGCAUACGAUCUAUGGAUGAAAGCGGGGGAUCGCAAGACCUCGCGCGAUUGGAGCGGCCGAUAUCAGAUUAGGUAGUUGGUGGGGUAAAGGCUCACCAAGCCGACGAUCUGUAGCUGGUCUGAGAGGACGACCAGCCACACUGGAACUGAGACACGGUCCAGACUCCUACGGGAGGCAGCAGUGGGGAAUUUUGGACAAUGGGCGCAAGCCUGAUCCAGCAAUGCCGCGUGCAGGAUGAAGGCCUUCGGGUUGUAAACUGCUUUUGUACGGAACGAAAAGGCUCUGGUUAAUACCUGGGGCCCAUGACGGUACCGUAAGAAUAAGCACCGGCUAACUACGUGCCAGCAGCCGCGGUAAUACGUAGGGUGCGAGCGUUAAUCGGAAUUACUGGGCGUAAAGCGUGCGCAGGCGGUAAUGCAAGACAGAUGUGAAAUCCCCGGGCUUAACCUGGGAACUGCAUUUGUGACUGCAUUGCUGGAGUGCGGCAGAGGGGGAUGGAAUUCCGCGUGUAGCAGUGAAAUGCGUAGAUAUGCGGAGGAACACCGAUGGCGAAGGCAAUCCCCUGGGCCUGCACUGACGCUCAUGCACGAAAGCGUGGGGAGCAAACAGGAUU
rnacentral:rRNA from 1 species